rnacentral:lncRNA from 1 species
UGGAGGAGGGGAGGUGCUGGGGCCCAGGGCUGUGCGGGAGGGGAUGGGAUCCUGUGGGUACCUUGGCCCGUGUGCCAGGGUCGGGGGAACGUGACACUAGGUGUCGUUGUCAUGGUGUGUGUUGUCACUGUGUCUGUGUGUGACAUCAUCACCGUCUGUGUGAUGCCAUCGCCGCGUCUGUGUGACAUUAAUAUGUGUGACGUCGACAUGGCCACGUGACGCCAUCACCACGGUGAUAUGUGACGUCAGCGCCGUUGCUUGCGUGACGUCAUCUCCGCGGCCGUGU